CAAUUCCCAAAGCAGAAAAACCCAGCUUUCCGUGCUUGGGUGAGAUUUCUUGGGUAAAAAGGCAGGAUUUUACCAGAAGUCUCGAACAACUCCGUGAUUUGUGGUGUGCAUUUCCACGAGGAGGAUUAUAUUGAAGGAGACUUGUUCGAACACAGGAUGGGGUUCAGAAAAAUGAACAAAAUCAGACUGAAAUCCACUGCAGUACCAUCGAUGCAUGGAAAAGGCAACAAGGGAGAAGGCUGCUUCCGGAACGACAACAAUGGCGGCUCCUUCCAGCAGCAGAAGAGACUCAGGAGCUACACGCAGGUCAGCAACUCACAAGCUGGAAGUAGCCAGAGUAAUUGUUGAAUCUCUAAAAACCAUUAAUGACAAAAACGUUCAGUGAUAAAAAUGUGUUAAUACAAAUAACGUCUAUUAAGCCAUGUUGGGGUACAAUUGUGCAGCUGAGUGAGGGAUAAACUGCACAAAGUUUCUCUAUAAUGACGGUGAGCAGAAAAAUAACUGACACGGUGAUUCUGGUUAAAAUCAUUUGAGCACCACGAACAACCCUUGCCUCCGGUUUCAACCAGCUGCUUCACCAGUUCAUAACAUGAUUUUGUACAGCUGUGCUCUCUCGAGUGACUCGUGCUAAUGUUUGUGUACGUUUUUGUUUUUUUAUUAAACACUCAAAUAUUUCCUACUUUAGUGUGGUUUCCAUGUGUUACUUUGAGAUUCAUGCUGGGCUAUUCAUCAGGGCUUUUACAUCCCCAUGGCAAUCUGCUGACUCCUAAAAUUAUGACAGGUUCCGACCCAAAUCAAACAUUUGUGAUCUUGUCUGCAUUAAACAACAUUUUUAUGUCUACAUCUUUUACGAUGAGUAGUUUGCUAAUGUGUUUUAAUUAUUUUUGCCCUAAAUGUUCUUGAUCUUCAAAUUCAAGUACAUAUUUGUAUGCUUGCUUUUCAGAUGAUAGCAGAUCUGUCACAAGUCGAAACAACAGAACAAACUCCUGAAGCAGCUGCAUCUCCUGUGACAUGACGGAUGACUGCAUGUCUGGUCAGAAACACUCCUCUACCACAGUGGAUCGUGCAACACGGUGUGGAUUCAGACAGCUCAUUCCUUAUUGUUCUACAGCAACACAGGUUGACCUACAUCCAUCCACCAGAGACAUGGGGACCCAGUGUGAGGAGAGUGAUGUGUUGUGGCACUCAACACCUUUAUCACCAGUAUCGUCACUUGAGCCCCUAGAUGACCAGGAGGAGAGCUACGAUCCAUUUGAUGAAUCUGAACCCAUGUCUAUUGAUGAUUUCUUAUCAGAUGAUGGAUAUUUAGAGGAUGAACUAGGCUGCCAAAAUCCACAGGCAAACAAAUACAUUGUUUGCCACAGCGAGCUGAUGGAGCUGUUCUGCACCUGCAUUUGUGGUGAAUGGGCAGAGGCCGCUAUUGCCAAGAAGUCUGGAACCUUCAUAGAAAUUCAGCAGGAAUGUGAUCUGUGUGGUUACAACAGAUCCUGGCGAAAUCAGCCCAUGCUCCAAAAAAACAUGCCAGCCUGCAACCUUCUCCUUUCUGGGGCCAUACACUUCACAGGGUGUUUGGUAUCUCAGACUUUACGGAUGCCGUCGCUGUUAGGUGUACAGACUAUUUCAGCGGGAACGUACACACUCAUAGAGACUAAACAAGGUCAUUGAUGUCCAGCUUGUGCAGAGUUCUGAGGUUCCAAACAGCUCCUGGUGUGAGCUUGAGGGGCUGAAGAGGAGCAUCAGGCUCUUCUCAGAUAAUGACAUGAGUGUCGAUGUACUUGUAACGGAUCACAAUCGACAGGUUGCAAAAUGGGUCAGAGAACAACUUGGACCACAAGGAACAAGGCACUUCAAUGAUGUCUGGCAUUGUGGAAAGGGUCUGGCCAAGAAACUGGACACUGUCAGCAGAGAGAGCGGUUGUGAGGAUUUGGCAUUGUGGAAGCAGUCCAUUGUUAACCACCUCUACUGGACAGCAGCAUCCACACCCGACGCAAAUCCAGAUUUAAUGGAAGCUAAGUGGAAGUCACUGGUGAACCACGCACAAGACAUUCACAAACAUGGAACAGAAGUGUUUCCAUCUUGUCUCCACCCUCCACUAGUAGGACAGGGCCGGAACAAACAAUGGCUAAUUCCAGGAUCAAGUGCAGCAGUUAAACUGGAACAAGUAGCAUGCCAGCCAUUGUUUGUGAAAUAUGUCAGACAGCUGUCACCACAGCAUCAGACAUAUUCACUCGAGGCAUUCCACUCCCUGAUCCUGAAAUUUGCUCCGAAGCAUAUGGGGUUCUCGUACCUGGGCAUGUA